AUCAGAUAUUAAUGAUUAUUUUUAUCAAUCAUUUAUUGUAUAUCUAUCACUUUAAUUAUAUCUAUGAUAUUACGUAAAAAAUUCACUAUUUAUGUAAUACAUAAUAAAAUAAUUAUUAAUUGAAGAUCGUUUAUUUGAUAAAAUCCAAAACAAAUACAGUUAGAUUGUUCUUACCGAAAAAAGGAGACCCAUCCAAAGUCCCACUCGAGAGAAACUAGAAUAAUUAAUAUAAAAUAAUUGUUUAAACUAUUAUAUGGCAAUGCGUUUAUGAAGAUAAUAAAGAAUUUUGAUGAAAAUAAGAAACUAUAGAUGAGUUCUAUAUUAAAACCGACACUGACACUAUUUCACGAUUACGUCUACUUAUGUUUCGGAAGGAGAGAGCUACGAUGUUUACUCGUCGAAAUGUAAAAGAAAACUAUUCCGAUAACAGAUAAAAGUCACGUGGUUAUACUGGAAGACGAACAACCAAUCAGAAUAGAGCUACCUUGGUCCUGUCUUCAUUUACGUAGCAGAAGGCAACAGUGAUGGAUCUCCUGAAAGUGUUCUUCGAUUUCUUCACAUUUUCGAUACUUUUUUCGUUUAUUUAUGGAAUUUCGUUUAACAAGUUAUACAAUAAAUUAUAACAGAAAUCGUAUGUGUUUCGUAAAAUCAAUAAUAAUGAAAAUAAAACCGAUAUAAGAAAAAAAAAAAAAUACAAAUGAAAACAAUAACGGACGAAAAGAUAAAAAUAAAAAAAUCAUUUUGUAUUUGUCAUCAUAUCUCAUCGGUAUAUAACUAUCGUUAAGUGGUCAAAUUAUCGAAUGAGAAUAAGAAUAAUCACACUUGAAUGAUAAUAAAAAUGCAAUCAAAAGGAAGGAAAGAAAGAGAUCUAUGUGAGACAUUAGGGACUAAAAUGUUUAAAUUGUAGCUUGUUGUUUAAAUAUAUUUUUUCUUUUUUUAUUAUUAUAUAUAAAUUAGCAUCGAAUAUAGAAUAUACAUGAUUUAUAUAAUGUUUAAUUAUAUACAUUUAUAUAUAUAUAUAUAUAUGUAUUAUAAUUAUCCAUUAUUACAAUACUAUUAGUAGUAAUAAUAAUAAUAUAAAAAUGUGCUAUUCCAACAGGAAAAAGAAAAUAAUAAAUAGCGCACGGAUAGUAUAAAACUGAACUUUUAGUUUUAAUUUUUUUGAAAAUAAUAUACAAUAUAUAUACGUAAAAUAGAAUAAUUUACUUGUGUUUUUUGACAGCAAAAAAAGAAAAGUAAGAAAGAAAAUAUAAUCCAUCUAGACUUGAGAAUCUACGAUUUCUAAAUUACAUGUCUAGUUGUUUGUUAUUUGCUAAAUGUUUCUUAUAGGAAUUUUACUUUUUAGUACGUAUAUAAAAAAAUAUAAAAGGAACUAGACAUUUUUUAUAAAUUUUAAACAAUAUAUCAAAAACUAAUAAAUGGCUGAAGACGUAUUUUCUUAUUUUUAUCAUAAAAUAGUCUGUCAAUAGUUCAUCAAAAUACUUGAAUGAAUUAUGUUUUCUCUACGUGUGAGAGCACGGCAAAUACCAUUUGGAAUAAGUCAGAAAAUUUGAGCUUUGAGUUUACGCACACAAAGAAGUAAUUAUCUAUUUCAUAAAAACAAAACACAUGAGUGCGCACGCCAUACACACACACACACACAUAUAUAUAUACUGUUAAAGCGUUUAUAUAAAAACAUACAUAUACUGUUUAAGCGUUUAUAUAAAGAUCAAUAAUAGUAGGAGGUUUCUUUCUUUUUGUCAAAAAAUAUAAGGAGCGCCAUUAUAUGUAACUUAAUAUAGUAACUUGAAUUAU